ensembl:lncRNA
AAGAAAGGAAGGUCCAGGAGAGUGUCGUAAGUGGAGCCUCAGAAACCACAGGUGGAUUGGCUUCUGCUCCGUGGGGUCUUGCGGACCCAUCUGGGUCUUUGCGGCCGUCUAGGUGCUUAGUGCCUAUUUGGUGAUGUUUUGGCCAUUUCUAAGGGAAGGGGUGAGCCAGCUGAUGGGUGGGAGGGUCUGAGGCUUGAUGCCAGUGAAUACUGUCAAGUGGAGCAUGUGGUUUGUGGGGUUCAGAGGGAAGGAAGGGUGGGGCCAAACGGACGGUUGUCUCCUGGACUGGAUUUGCGUUCUGGCCUUACUGGCGGUGGGUGGCCGGCAGGCUGUGGUGGCCAGCUGGCCUUGUCCUCCUCACCCUGGCAGGUUCAACCCGCCCAAACACCAGAUUGUUGGAUGGAAGGAAGGGAAGGUGAGAUGAGCCCAGCCGCUGACAGGCGGAUUUUCCCGUGACCAGAGCUUUGGAAUUGCAGACACUCAUUUUUGAACAAGCUUGUGCUGGAGGAUUUGGGUUGUGCGAGUGCGUGUGUGUGAGGGGAGCAGACUUUCUUGGAAACUGGAGGAAGGAGAUGAGGAGGCUUAAGGAACUAUUGCUGAUGGGCUGUGGUUGAUGAAACGAGGGGCGUCGACCGGCUGGCCCCGGCUUUCGGCCUGGGGACUCUGGUGCUGGGGGCAGGAUGGGAUGCGGGGAGGGCUCUUGCUGGCCUGAUGAGUAGCUGCUGGGACAGAACGCAGAGAGAAGAGGGAAACUAGGUGUCCUGGGGCAGCCGAGAGGCACUUGUCAACGCCAGCCCAAGUGACGCUGCCAUGAGCAUUCCGGCCCCUGGCCCCGUACGCACUUCUCUCCCGGGCUUUGUCUUCUCUUUCCGGUGUGUCUUAGAGAUUUCAGGUGGGGGAGCCUCAGCAUGGAGCAGGCCAGAGCUGUCCUUACCAAAUUGGAAAGGAAAGUGCAAGUGUUCCUUUCUUUAGCCAAAGAACCCUUCUAGGAGACACCCCCACGUGCGGACAGAACGGCUUCCUUUCUGGGCAAUAAUGACUUCAUCAGUGAGUGAUGCCAUCCCAUUUGUCUUUCUCUUUCCCCUCUCUCCUGACUUGGCUUUUCGUUUUGUCUGGAGUUUUUGUUGUCGUUGCUUUUUUUUCUUUCAAAACUGAGCUCAUCUUGUGAGAGGAGUCGAGGUCAGUCGCCCUAAAUACUGCUGCUCUUGAGAAGCACAGCACGGAUCUGGGGGCUUAGCUCAUCUCAUGUUUCCCAGGAGAGUCAGACCUUCUGCCCAGAGGUGCUUUGGGGUUCACUUGCACACUGGCGCCGGGCUUGGGGUGUGGGUACAUUUCCGCUUUGAUGCCUUAGACUCACUUCUGGUCUCUGGACUCAGCCGAGAACAGGAGAUGGCGAAAUGACAUGUAAAUGCAAUCGAGACCUCUCAAAGGCCCUUGGUGCCCUCGCUCCCUGGAGUGAGCCAUCCUAAGAGAGGCCUCUCCCAUCGUUCUUGCAACUUCCAGGAGUCCGAGAGGGCCAGCUCCAAACCAGUUCCUCCCGCAAGACUCAGUGCGCGCUUACAGAGCAGUGACCCUCCCGAGGGCGCCCUUGCUCCGGGUACCUGAACCAGAAAGGAGCUUCGUGAUGCCCCAGCCUGACUCCCCCACGCCUCUGAGACACCCCCACCCCCAGACUCAGAGCCCUCGCCUCAGAGCCUUCUGUUGACCAUCUCUUUGUUAAAACUUGCAGUGUCCCUCGAGUCCUAGCCAACGUUUGUUCAGUGCUUUCAGCAGGUCAGGCUCAUACCUGGCCCUCUAUGAGCGUGACCUCAAGGAGCCCACAGGCACCCCAUUUGCAGCACCCCCCUUUACAGUUGAUGAGCAAGUUGACUGACCCUCUAAGAAAGUAGCCUGUGUUCAAGGAAAGAAAAUACAACAGUGAUCCGAAAUCCCCAAGUUCUAGUGAAAUUUUUUGUUAAUCAGACCCUUUCCUGAAAUAGGAUUUUGUUUCACUUAUUUAACCAUGCUCCCACUUCCAAUGUGCCAAACGUGUUUAUCCUGUUUUCACUCCGUCUUUGUAAUAAGCCCUGUGACAUCGGCAGUACUAGUCCCUUUACAGGUGAGGCGCCUGGCUCCGCAAGCUGGUAACCCGGGUCACACAGCUAGUAGGGGAGCCGGGCCUUGAACCCGGUUCUGCUCAGCUCCAGAACCGAGCUCGCAGACGCCAGCCUCGGCUGUCUCCUUGGCUGUUUGUGCGAAGAAAAGCCUCGAAGGAACGUCCCCCUGCACCACCCCCGCCCCGUGCGUGGAACCCAGCAGAAGGUCUGUGUGAAGGGGGCGUUUGCAUCAGAUCCAAGCAGCAGGAGCAGGAUUAGUUUGACUUUUAGAGAAAACUCUUAAGCGUGUUUCUUUUGGCUCUUCCUUUCCAGUGUACCAGCUAGCUUUCGUAGUGCUGCUACAACUAACUCUUGUAAGAGGGAGGGAAAAAAGUGUUCUUUUCUUCUUUAAAAAAAAAAUAAUUUUUUUCUUGCUUGUAGUUAAUUCUAUAAAGGCAAUACUAAAGGUAUAUAUUUUUUUCAAAAUGCUAUUUUUUACUGCACUGAGAAAUAUCAUGACACUUCUGGUCUCUGUCAUCAUCUACUCUUUCGGCUCUGGGUAGACCCAGGUGCGGGAUUCACACCAAAUUUGUAAAUAUUGUGUGUGGGUCUGGUGUCCAGGAACUGUUUUCUUUGUGUAAAAAAAAAAACAAAAACAAAAACAAAAAAAGGAGGAGAAAGACAAGAUGACUUUUAGAAAGAGGAACAAAAUAAGGUUGUCUUUUGAGAUAACCUCAGACGGAAGGCAGCGGUUUUGUAAACUGAGAAAAACUAGGCAACUUUCAGGAUAUCAGGAAGGAGAGUGUCUUGCCAAGUUUUGAGGUUACUAGUAAUACAGAAGCAUUUUUAUGUUGGUUGAAAGGUGGCAAGAAUUUAGAAAUACUUUAGAUUUUUAAUUUUUUAGGAAACUAUUCUUGCUUUAAGAAACAUCUCAGUUGUUUUGGGUGGGUUUUUUGUUUUCUUUUUAAUUUCAGAAACUUCUUUAUUGACUGGCUCCAGGCUUGUUUGCCUAAAUGCUUAGGUAGUUUACACAAGUUCUAGAACCUUCUAGAACUUUAAUUCCAUUGGAAGCAAACCCAACUAAUCAGAAUUGGUUGGUUUCAAUAGGUAUUCUGGAAUUCUGACAGAGCACCUAAAGAUCUUUCUAAAGAAGGUUUUAGAUACAUUAUCUUACACAAACUGUGACCUGAUGGCAAUAAUUACCUCAAAUGUGGGCAUUCAUCCUGGUUUUAGGCUUUUUUGAAAUCAUGUAGCCAGCUUGAUCUUGGGAUUUAAAAGACUUAGGAACUCUGCAUGGGCUGAAAAUAACAAUUCAGUCAUACGCUGGUCAUCGUUGCUUAAGUGAAUUCUGAAAAUAGCUCAUCUUUACCACAAAAAUUAAACCAAGGAAGAGAUUAUUCUCUGUCUUGUAAUCAAAUGUGAUUUUCAAAAGCACAUGUUAAGGAUAUAUGUUUUUAGCUACUGUCAAAUGCUCUGAGCCUUCUAAGAUCUCCAGAGAGUCACAUUUUCAGUAAUUGACUGUGGAUACUUCAGCAUCUUUCUGGCUACAUUUUAUAGUUCACGUGUUUCAUAGUUUACAUUUAAACUGGUACUUUUUAAAGAAAGUUUUUGUUUUUAACUGACAUCUUCAACCCCCAGCCGUUGCCUCUCUAAUCGGAGGCCAUGUCCCCCCAAGGCAGGUGCGAUCUGCCCAUAUGCUGUGUGAGUCCACCGAGAGCAUCUGCCUCCAGAUGGGUUUCCAUGCAAACGAGAGCAGAUGUGAAGGGAUUUCCGGGGGGGAGGGAGGGGGCAGGAAGGGGUGGGUCCACAGCCUGGGCCAGAUGCGAAGAGCUCAUGAUGCUGUGUUGUAUCCAUACGGGUCGUCAGGGCCUUCUCUUGGACAUCUUGGAAGAGACAGAGGAUAGAUACCCGGUUCGUUGAUUUCGUCUUGAUUUGAAUGUUUAAUUUAUUAAUCCAUCUACUGGCUUCCAGUCACCAGGCAGUAGAGGACACUGGGGUUCAGGUGGCCCCAAAGGUACAGCUGCUAUUUCCAGGCCCCCAGCCGCAUGCAGAUUGGUGAUGUGCAGGGGAGAGUCGUGCCCCACCCCCGUGCCGAUAUUCACUGGUUGGGUUUCCAUGUGUCUGCUGUCACUCCUUUCUCCUUCAAGUGUCAAGUACUCUUGUUGGCUGCCUCCACCCACUCUCGCUCCCUCUCACUUCUCACCCCAUUCACUGUUGUGUUCCUGCUCAUUUAAAGCUUCCUCCCGUGGCUUUUCCAGGGCACAAUCAUUUCUGGCCCCCAGAGCAUCUCCUCAUCCUCUCUGUGUGCAUUUUUUUAACCAAAUGAAGUAGACCAGGAAGUCAUACUCUGGGGCAGCGGAAGUUCUAGUGUAGUAGAAUCACUGUAUAGAUGUAGAUGUUGAUAUAUAUGUUUGUGUAUAUAUAUAUCAAGCCAAAUUUCUGAUAGGAAAAGUAUAGCUUUACAGAUGAGGAGGAAGAGGCGAUUUGAAAAGCCUGAGUCAGUGUUGGUUGGCAUAUUAGAGGAGCCCUGGACCACAGCCCAGGCUGCAUCUUCGCACGUGGGCCCAAGGCAGGGCGCCCGGCCCCCCGCCACCACCUCGCCACUGCGGAGGCAAGAGGCCCUGCAGGGUGCCACUGCUCUCUCUGGGUCCCCAGCGACAAGGGCAUAGACGAGUGAGGGGAGGCAACACAUCAGGAUGACUGGAAUUUUCCAUCCCGUUUUGCUUCGACCGUGGGUAUUGAGCGGCAGCCUCUGAUAUUCUAUCCCAUUUCCAAAAAUGGUAUCCAUUAGGCCGGAAAGAGAACGGAUCCGUAGAAAUGUUGACCUUGCAGCUGCCCACGAAUUCAGGACACUCUGGACAGGAAGACACACUCCCCAGAACGAGAGCAGGGAAGAGGGGACCGGGGGAGGCUCGGUCCCCGGUCCAAGGAACGUAGCUCCUCCCCAGGGUCGUCUCGCCCAGACCUUCUCUACCAGGUCCCUCCGCUCAGUUACCCUCGGGAAGCCCUGCUCUGUUGUGUUCCUUCACUGUACGGUUUCUGUAAUAAAAAGUGUUAAUCCAUGUUAAUCCUUGUGAAAACUAUUGCGUGCAACAGUAUUUUCUCGUGUACCUCUUUUUCCUAUGUGAAUUGUCCCUCUUUUCUUUUUUUAUUUAUAAAUGUCUACUUUUUUUAAAAGACAAACCAAUGUGUUGUAGGCCUAUAUGUAACCUAUUCCUUAGUCUCAUAUUAUAGGUAUGUUAUAAGAAUGGAUAUUUUACUUGGCUUUAGAAUGUUUUACAAGAAAAAUAAUUCUUAUCUGAUCAAGUCCUUGCUACUAAAAUGCUUGUGUUUUUCAUCAUGACGUCGUGUGCUUCUAAAUUAAUGAUCAUUUUCGUUGUAGAAAAAUGGAGUGAAUUUAUAUUAGUCUUGGAAACUAAUAAUAGCAUUGUAAAUUUAUGAGAUGAUUUUAACAGAAAAAAAAUUAUAGAAGAAUAUAGUUAUUUUAAUUGUAAUAUUACUAACUGUAGGGUGAGAAAGGGGGGUCCCGUCGUGUGAACUAUGUUAUAGCUUGUUACUCACAGUUUCUUUUUGAUCACUUUUUCGGUCUCUGAGGUGAAACGAGUUAUUAAUUAAAAUUCGUAAACUCACAUAUGCAUAUUGUAUAUGUGUAGAAAUGUAAUCACACUCUGUCUUGGAAUUACAUUAAACUGUUUGGAAUCACU